rnacentral:rRNA from 1 species
UACGUAGGGUGCGAGCGUUGUCCGGAAUUACUGGGCGUAAAGAGCUCGUAGGUGGUUUGUCGCGUUGUUCGUGAAAACUCACAGCUUAACUGUGGGCGUGCGGGCGAUACGGGCAGACUUGAGUUCGGUAGGGGAGACUGGAAUUCCUGGUGUAGCGGUGAAAUGCGCAGAUAUCAGGAGGAACACCGGUGGCGAAGGCGGGUCUCUGGGCCGAUACUGACGCUGAGACGCGAAAGCGUGGGGAGCGAACAGG